UGAAGUGGGACACUCAACUGGCUGAGCCACACCCACAUGCUUUUCUUACAAUAUGAUGCUCCUUCCUCUUUUCAGAUGCAGGAGCUACAUUUUUAUAACUACAUCAACCCAACAGAAUAUGAUGCAAGAGAUGGUGUAUGAUUUCCAAGGCUAAGUCAUACAAAAUGUUGCAGCUUUCACCUGGGUCUCUAGUAUCGCUUGUUCUGGGAGAAGCCCAACACCAUAACCAAGAGACAAUGAAGGCACCCACAGGAGAGGCCCAAUGAAGAACUGAGGCUCCCAGCUUGGCCAGCAUCGACUUGCCAGCCAUGUGACUGAGCCACCUUGGAAGUGGAUCCCUUCCACCCCAGUCAAGCCCUCUGAUGACUGUAGCCCCCGCCAACACAUGACCACAGCUCCUGAGGGCCCAGGUCCUUGCUGUACCUGCAACUGUCCUCAUGACCGGCACGGAAGGCCCUGCUCUCGGCUGAUGAGCUCCUCUCGUCUCUGCUUUCUACUUCUGCAGACUGCGAUUUUGACUCCUCUGGGAUGAACACAAAGAAACUGGUUAUUUGGGGACAGAUGAGAAUGGAAACACAAUACACGUCUUGUCACAUUUUUAGUUUGAAAGAACUUUGAGGGCUGUAGGAUCUAUAUAUUAAUGGGAGAGUGAGCUCCAGUUUUAGAACCUCUAAGUUUAUUCUGUUCUCUUAGCUGACAGGUCUUGGUGAUCAUAUAGUAACUCAUGUGUGUGUUGGUAUUUUGGUUGGUUGCCUAAAUUAGAACCCAGAAUACACCAGUACAGACAGCACUCUAUCCCUCUCCACCAGUAUUUAUGGAAUUCACUGAAAUGUGCUGACUUGAAAACCAAACUAGAGAAAAGGAGGUGGGUUAGGACAAGUGCUUCAAGAAGAGAAAUAUGGAGAAGCUAGCAUGUAUCUAUUCCCUGAACAGCUCUUGGGUACGAGGUACCUAUAACAGAUGCCCAAUAGUAGUUUGUUAAUUUAAAAAAUCUGUCACCAUUACAAUAAAACAAUACCUUUAAAUGUUUCUGGCAACUCCAAAGGUGCUUCAGGUGGCACUUCCAGUCCAGCAGCUUGAGUAAGAUACAAUCGCCUAAAAAGAACAAAUGAAAAAAGCAGUCCGUCAACAAACAUUGUACCAUCUGGUCAUUGGUGUCUGUCUUUCUGCUACGUUCUGGAGACACAAAGAUGAAAAAUCAGACGGUUUUUACCCUGGAGGAGCAUGAGGCCCAGAGGCGUGGCAGAUGGGCUUACAGUGUUUUAAGGCGACGGUCUGUACCCUGAUGGGUGACGGGGGUAGAGUGAGAAGUGCUGUGGGACAGAGAGAAGACACCUGGUUGAGCUUUAGAAGGCAAGGGAAAGUCUCCAGGAGGAGAUGAAACCCGAGGGGACACUUGGAGAACCAGGGGCUAUUUGCCAGGGAAGAGCUUGGGGUGAGGAAGGGCACUGUGUGAUAAGGGAAUAACAGACUUAAUGUUCUGGACACCAGUUGGGGUACUGUUGUAGUAAUCCAGCUCAGCAACAGCCAUGGCCUGAGUGGGUGGUUUUAAAAUGGAGAGGAAAAGAGAAGGACAGCGAGCAGCAGGAAUCCCAGAGGACAUGGAGGUGCUGGCUGAGUGCCAUGUUUCAGCCCCAAGCCUGGGGAGUUGGACGUCUGCUACUGUAGCUCUCUGUGCAUGUGUUUAAUUCUGUGGUCUGCUUUUCAGCACCUGAUGAACUUGCAACCAUAAAAUAUGAUGUCUUGAAACCUCCAUGUAACUUUUCCAUGAAGUUUGCCUGAAGACAGCCUGAGCUGCACUCUUGUCGAUGGUCAAACCACCCCUCAUGCUUAGCAGCUCAGCAAGCAGAGUGAGUCCCCCGGAUUACAGGUUGUCAAUUAUUUAAAGAACAUGAGUGAAGCGUUAUUCAAAAUGCUACGUAUCAGGCAAAUAAUGUAACUACAUACAAUAUUUAUUUUUAUAAAACUUUAAAAAAAUGUU